AUUGAACGCUGGGCGGCAUGCCUUACACAUGCAAGUCGAACGGUAACGCGGGGCAACCUGGCGACGAGUGGCGAACGGGUGAGUAAUAUAUCGGAACGUGCCCAGUAGUGGGGGAUAGCCCGGCGAAAGCCGGAUUAAUACCGCAUACGACCUACGGGUGAAAGGCGGGGGAUCGCAAGACCUCGCGCUAUUGGAGCGGCCGAUAUCAGAUUAGGUAGUUGGUGGGGUAAAGGCCUACCAAGCCUACGAUCUGUAGCUGGUCUGAGAGGACGACCAGCCACACUGGGACUGAGACAC
rnacentral:rRNA from 1 species